rnacentral:lncRNA from 14 species
AUGCAUUGCCAUGUCUCUCUUCCCGCUCCCUCAGCCGCUACACCCGGCGCGGCGAGCCCUCCGGCGAGGCACAGCUGCAGGCGAAGGCAGGUAGCACGAUGCUUGCUUCUCCAGAGGCUAUCGGCACCUCGUUCCCGUUCUUCCCCAGGAUGGCAGACCUCCGGCCGGGGGAUGUGGCUCUCUGGGGAGGCCGGCCGGCCGACGCCUCUCUGCCGGACACUUGCCGAGUCCCCAGCUGGCGGGCAGCUGCGACUCCUGGAGCCCUGCUCCAGGCUGCCGCUCGUGCCACCCCGGACCCUAAGAACUCCCAUGCUGCAGGGCGCAGCAGGGUCGGGGCCGAGCCCCUCCCCAUCCUUCCCACCUGCCCCCACCCCACCGGAGGCGGUGUGUGAGAAGAGCCGCCUGGCCCGGGGCCUGAAGUGGGGGGCGCGAGUCACGCGGGCCGGCUCUGCCCCUCACCCCGCCAGCUGCCUCACCUUAGGAGGAACCUUCGGAGCCUCCGGCCUCUCUCCCGCAGCGACACCGCCAACUGGAGGCUGUGACGCCAGGCGGCAGCCGCCCCGCCCCCGUCACCGAGACCGCCCCGGCCCGGCCCACGGGCCGCGCUCCCCUCCGCUCCCGAGUGCCGGCAAGGCCGGGGCGGGCCAGCAGCGGCUCCAGGUGGUAAUCACCCUGCUAACCCAGGACCCCUUUCCUAUCCGUGCAGGUUUGCCUCAUCUUGCUGAAGGAAAGCUGCAGUAUGCCCAGUUCUCCUUCAAAACGUCUGAAAGAUGAAACAACAGCCACUGUUCUGUUUGUCUGUAAACCAGCAUUAAGUGCAGGCAGCAGAAAAUAGGUGGAUAAUAAUUUACUAUGCUUGCCUGCUUCAAAUGAAAAGCACCUAAAGCCACAUAAAGAACCU